GACAGAGGUGCCAAGCGUUAGGCGGAAUCACUGGGCUUAAAGCGUGUGUAGGCGGAUCGUUAAGUACCUUGUGAAAUCCCACGGCUUAACCGUGGAACUGCUCGGUAUACUGGCGGUCUUGAGCAACCUAGGGGCGAGCGGAACAAAUGGUGGAGCGGUGAAAUGCGUAGAGUAUCAUUUGGAACGCCAAUGGUGAAAACAGCUCGCUGGGGGUUUGCUGACGCUGAGACACGAAAGCCAGGGGAGCAAAGCGGG
rnacentral:rRNA from 1 species